rnacentral:lncRNA from 1 species
AGAGAGAGAGAGAGAGAGAGAGAGAGAGAGAGAAAGAGGAAGGUGAGGGACACAAUACUAUAAUAAUGUACAGAAAAUGGGCUAUAGCGAUAGACAGACCGACAAAUAAUCAGACCAGCACAAACAAACACACACAGACCGAUGGGAAAGGAGCCAAGAUCGACGAGAGAGAUUUGGACUCCGUUUGAGACGGGGGUUUCAGUUAAACGUUUUGUUUUGUUUUUGUUUUUGUUUGUUGUUUUGUGUUGAUGUUUUAUUUUUAAUUGCCACGAUCGAUUCAGUUACAUCAUUGUGAGAGGUUCUCUCGAGUAGAGCAGGCGUGAGUGAACGUUGUUGAUGCUUAGAGGAGAGGUUUUCGGAAAAAUCUUUGAGUAAAACAGGAAAGGAGACGAAGUGUUUCCACACGUUAGAGGUAUGCACAGCUGGGACUGGAUUCUGAAGCAAGAUUCACUUCCUCUUUUUAGACUGGACGACAACUGGCGUGAAAUACUUUCAAGAUUUCUUUACAGGGUUCGAUACUGCUCAAAGAAAGGGUGUGAUCGUGUGUUUUCAUCUGUGCUAGUUUGUUGAUCUUUGGUUUCCAUUUUAGGUGUAGAGGUAUAGCUUAGGUUCUUAGGUUAUAGAAUUCAUUAGAAUGUGUUAUAUAUAUUAUUAUAAUGUAAUGAUUUGAUAGUUUAGGUUUAAUGUAGAAUGUAGACACAGUAGAUUAUCCAAUAUUAUGAUCCAUCGUAAGACAGCUUUCAAAGAGAUGAAGAAACGACGAAAAUCGGUACAAAUCCAUAACGUUAUCUUUUUAUCCAGUUGGGUUCGCUCGCAUGAGAUUACACUUUCAGAAUGAUUUCCCUAAGGUGUUCAACAAUAAUUGUUGAUUCUUUGAAGACAGCCUCCGAAACAGCUGAUGCCCCCCACAGUGGAAGGACUCCGACAUUUACGGUCUUGAAUAAUAGAAAGCAAGAAAGUAAAGACAGAUUAAUUUCAGUUUAACUGGUUUCCAACCCUUUGAGGAGGCGAUAAUGAGUUUUUUCAUGGAGACCCAAAAGAUGAUAUACAGUAGAACACGGAUAGCGAGAAUUCGUCAGGACCGGCCUUGGUAGCUGGAGGGAUCCGCAGUUCCAGGGAUAUCUUACAAAGAUAAAGAAGAAGAAAAACAGGACCGCCGGCUCAGUUGGACGGAUGUGUGAUUUCGAGUGUUCUGUGUUCGACCUAUCCGUGUUCUACUGUAUACAAUCUGAUGUAGACUAUUGUGACGGAUUCAUGAGCAGCUUCUGUGUUCACGUUUGACAAGGAUGUAACUGACUGUUCUACCAUCAAGUAAACAACGAUUAAGCGACCCCAGAAGAAAACCAAAUAGUGAUCUUGACAUCGAUCCGUCAAACAACUGUCCUGCAGAGUUACGUCCCCUUGUGUGCAGUGAAUGUGCCGCGUCAACCUGGCACAGACUGGACAGACGUGACUCCCUCCUGUCUGGCGAACUCAUGGACGAGAAGGCGCACUUUACAGGGUACUUGCUGAGUGAACGUUUCUAACUACUACGACAUGCGCGUGAAAACCAAAGAAACCUGAUAUCUUCUUUUUAAUCAAAUUACAUGUAUUUUUUGUUGUUGUGAGCAUACGAUGUGGUUAAUGAAAACGUAAAAUAACA